GGAUCUAUCGCGUGUGCAAAGGUGAGGUCAGAAUUACGCAUGUAUAAAUUGCAAAAGUGCAGCCUAUUGAUUUCAUUCAUUUCAUAAGUUUAAUUAAAUGUAUUGUUUCUUCUUCGUCAAGUAUUGUAAAAUACCGGCUGUGAACUUGAUCCUAUGGCUAAAACAAAUUUGGCUAAAACAAAUUUGAUUAAAUGUCUAUAAUGAAGGACAACAUUUGUCCAUGAGGUUCCUAAAAACGCAACUUUUGUGCAGUAAAAUUAAAAUGGAUGGCGGAAGCUCUAGAAACCUCGGAUCAGCUUCAUUCAAAAACGAAAAUCAAGAGGAAAGAUUGAAGUUUAAUUAACUCACUUGUAGUUUCAAAAAAGACUUCGUGAAGUAGGAGAAAAUGACUGAAAACAGCAAGCUACGAACACUGUCCAGAAAAUAGACCUCUGCACGAACAGCUUCUGUUUUGCAAUUUUAAGAUUUGUAUAUUUUUAUGAAUCAAAACUUAAGAAAUCUAUAUUUCUUUGGGUGAAUUUUUAUGGGUAGAUGAUGAUACAUGUACAAAUUCUUGUAAAAAUUAUUUUUAUACAAACUAACAUGGCAUAACAUGAUUGGUUGAAUGAAAACACUACAUGAUCCAUAUAAUUUAGAUUUGUUAUUUUAUAUUUCACUCAACCAAUGAUUUAAUAUCACAUCAAUUUAUAUAAAAAUAGAUUGUACAAGAGUUUGUAGUUAUAGUAUUACAUUUAAUAUUAAUAUGUGCAUUUAUUUUUUAUAAAUCAAAAUGGACGUAUUUAUGAAAUAAAAUUUAAAAUAGUGGUAUAAGGAUUUUUGAGGCGUAUUAAGAGCCCCGCUCUGUAUGAAAAUUGUAGCCCAAUCCAAUUACCAAAAUAGCGAUCGGACUUUUCUUACUACGAACCAUGUGUUGCACAUUCUUGCUGGACCUCGAAGAAGCGGAAAUGUCAUGUUAAGUAGUGUUUUUCGCAUAGUGGCUGAAAUAAUUUGGACCUACUAAAGCAAGAGACUUUUGUCUUCCACUUUCAAGAGUAAAGCAUACGCCAAAAACGAGAAAAAAUAUAUUGCUUCGUGAUUGAAUAGUUAGCGGGUAUACAAUUGUAACCACUAAUAUUUGGCUAAGGUCAGUCUUGCUUAUUCUGAUAAACAUAACGCCAAUGACACCAUUCAACUCAAUAAGCUGAAACUUGAAAGCUGAAAAGGAAAGGAGAGCAUUAUCUUUACUGGGCAUAACUUUAGAAUAUGCCCGAGGGAUCUAUCGCGUGUGCAAAGGUGAGGUCAGAAUUACGCAUGUAUAAAUUGCAAAAGUGCAGCCUAUUGAUUUCAUUCAUUUCAUAAGUUUAAUUAAAUGUAUUGUUUCUUCUUCGUCAAGUAUUGUAAAAUACCGGCUGUGAACUUGAUCCUAUGGCUAAAACAAAUUUGGCUAAAACAAAUUUGAUUAAAUGUCUAUAAUGAAGGACAACAUUUGUCCAUGAGGUUCCUAAAAACGCAACUUUUGUGCAGUAAAAUUAAAAUGGAUGGCGGAAGCUCUAGAAACCUCGGAUCAGCUUCAUUCAAAAACGAAAAUCAAGAGGAAAGAUUGAAGUUUAAUUAACUCACUUGUAGUUUCAAAAAAGACUUCGUGAAGUAGGAGAAAAUGACUGAAAACAGCAAGCUACGAACACUGUCCAGAAAAUAGACCUCUGCACGAACAGCUUCUGUUUUGCCACGAUUUGAGAUCCUUAAAGCACCCCAAUUGUGAUGCCUCUAGUUAGUACACACUUAGAAAUGUUCUAGGAGUUCAUAGGAUUUGGAAUCUCGAAAUUUCGUUUAGAAAUGAGAGAGAUAAUGAAGAAACAUGAAUGCUAGUUCAUGAUGAUUCAUUCCACCGAAUAAAGCCACCAUUAUCUUCAAUAAU
rnacentral:lncRNA from 1 species